rnacentral:rRNA from 1 species
AAACGCCCGGGAAUUACGAGCACAAGCUUAAAACCCAAAGGACUUGACGGUGUCCCACCCACCUAGAGGAGCCUGUUCUAUAAUCGAUGAUCCACGUUAUACCUUACCAUUUUUUGCCUUCAGCCUGUAUACCUCCGUCGACAGCUUACCAUUUGAAUGCCAUAAAGUAAGCCCAAUGGUCUAUACACCUAUACGUCAGGUCAAGGUGCAGCCUAUAAAAUGGAAAGCAAUGGGCUACAAUUUCUAUCCUAGAACAAACAGAAAACUACAUGAAACAUUGUCAUGAAGGCGGAUUUAGAAGUAAAAGAAAAAUAGCAAGUUUCUUUUAACAAGGCCCUGGGACGUGUACAAACCGCCCGUCACCCUCUUCAACAGCACUCUCUUUAGUCUUUCAACACCAACUCAGCACCUUAGAAGAGGCAAGUCGUAACACGGUAAGUGUACUGGAAAGUGCACUUGGCUAAACAAAGUGUAGCUUAACAAAAGCUUUUCGCUUACAUCGAAAAAAUAUCCGUUCAACCCAGAUCACUUUGAGCUAUAAAUCUAGUCUACACCAUCACCAAUGCUAAUCACCACUAAUCAAAAUAUAAUAAAACAUUUUAACCGUUUAGUAAAGGAGAU